UUUUUUUUUUUAUGGUUUCACUUACUCCUAUAAAUUAAUUCGUUUUCAAAGAGAAAAAAAAAUAAAAAUAAAAAGAUUAAUCGAAAUAUGAUUUGUCUAAUGGUUCUUUCAGUAAAGCCCAUUUAAUGCUAUAUAUUUUAAAAGCUAAAGAAGUCGAUACCUUGUACGUUGUUGUCGUUGUUGGUUGUGGUACUAUGUUUAUGUCGUAUGUUUUGUAGUUAUUAAUUUCUAUUGAUAAUCCUUUGGUUGCAAGGACCUUCUCAAUUUGGGAUGCUGCAUGACGUUUGAAGUCGAUUAUUUGUAGCUUUUGGAAUGAUAAUUUUUCUUGUGUCGAUAGUGAUGUCCAUUGCUUUCGUGUGGCUCGUUCGGAAGGUGGGCUCGAUUGUGUUUUGUGGUUAUGUAGCCAGUAACGUUGUAAAACUAUGUCGCUGUACCAUUGUAGGUUGGUUUUUGGUGUCGUUUCUUCUUCUGUCGUCAAUACUUUUGUGUCCUUUGUUUGUUUAGCCAACGAUUCGUAAUAUUUCUUAUAUUUCUUGUCAAGUAGAUUAUUCCAGGAUGAAUUUGCAUCGCUGUCGAUUGCUUCAUCUUCGAUCUGAAGUGUUGAGAACAAUUGGUAGUGUUUCAGUCUUUGAACGGAUUUAAAUAAUGAUAUCGGAUAUAUAGUUAUUUCAGUUGAGCAUGUCGUGAUUCGGUUUGUUGUGGUCACAGGUUUUGGUCUGGUGCAAUUUGGAGAGGCUUUGUCGUGUACUAUUGAUGGAUUAUCGUUAAUGCUCCACGUGUGCAGUCGUAUGAGGCAGUAUGGGCAUUGUACUACGUCUGGUUGUUGUUGAAAAAAGAAGCCAUUGAUUGCGAACGUUUUUGAUCUUCGUUUCAUGUGUGCAGGUGCGUUAUGGAAAGAACCCGCUCUGUUGUGUAGGUUUCUGAAGAAGGCUCGUCUGAUGGUGGUAAUCUUUUUGUUUCGUUUGGAUUGGCGUAGACCUCGUAUUGUUGACAUCUAAUUGUUUGGAUUGUUGGAAUGAUUGGGAAUAAAGAGAAAUGGGGGGAGAGGUGAAGAAGAAAAAAAAAUAUAAAGAAAAUAAGAUAAAAAAAAUAAAAAAAAAAUUGCUCCUACUCAAUCGAGGCUUUGUUAGUUCACUUAAACUAAUGUUUCUAGCGGUGUUGGGAGGGGGUUCAAUGUUUCAUUUCUUAUGAAUGAAAUUGAAUUCGUGCGGACGUGAUCGUUGGUACUCUUCUUAUAACAGAAAGUACCUAGUAACAUCAGUAUUGAUAUGACCAUUCCUGUUAUCAUUAUUAUGAUCAGUAUUAUGUUCAUAUCAGAAUAUUCCGGUAGGUCAAACAUACGUUUAAAUGAUAUUUCCCGAGAUGCUGCUUUGUUCAAGUCUUGUAGACUUGAACUGAUCUUCCUUAACUGUUCAUUUUCGCCUAAUGAUAUUACCCGAGGGUUAUCUACCGUUUGAACCAAGUUCAAUGCCAUUGGUGUCUCGUUAGAGUUCGGUAAAGCGUAAUGAGUCGUCGGUAUUAAUUGUUCGUAAAUUUCAGAAUAAUAAUCAGUUUGUGACAUAAUCAACAACUUAUCAGUUUUGAGCUGACAGUCCUGUUUGAGGCUUAAUAACCCAAUCCCUUCGAUUCUCUCGUUAGUGGUUGGCAUAUCAUUACAUCUAACAUACACAUUUUGUGGUUGUGGAAAUGUGGCAAUCCACGUAUUUGGUUGUUUUACCUUAAUAAGCAUUUCAGAAGUUAUUUUCGCGAUUCUAAUAUCACAAUUUGCCGAGUCAUUCUUAUUUGCUAAGAGGGUAGUACCGCAGUCGUCAUCGCUUUCCGAUACUUGAAAUAUGGGAGAUGUUUGUGGGCAAAUUAAGUUAUUUUGCUGAGAGAUGUGUCUCAAGUCGUGGCAUUUUACUAGUUCCUCGUUGGUCAAAGAAAUGUAAGAUUCCCUAUAAUCGUCCAUGGCAAUGUACUCGUGUGUAGGUACUAUGAAUUGGUACACACCCGAAGGGAGUCGGUUCGGGAGACUAGUGAGUUUGAUCAGAUUAUACUGUUUCGUUGAGAGUAAAGGUACUGACAUUACAAUCAGUAACUGGUCGUCAACAAUUCUUGACCGGGUGGUUGAAAUUUGGUAAUACGUGGCUAUAUUAUCUUUACUAAUGGGUAAUGGAAGCAUCAGAUCGUUUUCAUUGAUUUCAGAUUGUAUGGACGUCAGUUCGUCCAUAAACUUAGCUGGUGGUAAAACGAUUGGAGUUAUCUGUACCGUUUCUACCCCUAAUGUAAUGGCUUCAAGGAAUUGUUUUUGUCUGUUAUGAAAUGAAUUCAACGCGACCGUGAUAUACGUUUGUAGAUCUUGCAUUUGGGAUUGUAGUGCUAGAUUAAGCCAAACAUUCUCAAAAUCCAAUCGCAUGUGUGCGAUGGUUUCGUUCAUUGAUGCGAUUUUGUUGUCAAUUCUUUCUUCCAUUUCACGCCGUAUUCCAUUAACUCUUGCCAAAACCUGAGAUGUGGAUUUCAAAAGUGUAGUAUGUGCUGACGAUAGUAUUUGUCGCGGCAAGUUCCAUGAAUCCAUGGCUGUAAAUUUCUCAAGGAAUGUCAUUGCAUCUUGUCGUGUCAAUGAUGAUAAGAAUGAUUUGAUUGAUGUUCCCAUUGUACUGCCCAAACCACGUCGUUUUCGUGUUCCCAUUUUAUCGUGGAACCAUUGGACAUUGAAAUUGUCUAUAUGUGAUCUGAGAAUUAAUAUUUGUUCAUAGGAUGCUCCACACUGUCGUGGAUAUAAAUGGCUAUCGAAUGAUGGUUGGGGGUCUUCUAUCGUUGAAUUAUGUUGAUUGAAUUCAGUGGUUAAUUGUUGGCACAUUCUCGUCAAUUUGUUCACGAAUUGGUCAAUGUGAUCGAAGUCUUCCUGUAGAGUUGUUAAAUUAAUGUGGUAUACCACAUGCCAUUCGUUGUUAUAUAUUUUGAUCGGUGCCAAUUUUUCAAAAUAUAUUCCUCCCGAAGUAUGCAAUGGUGUGAAUACAAAAUUAGGGUUUGUUUCGUUCGUCUCUGUCGUCCAUGCUAUGUUUAGUAUUGCGCUAGAGGAAUAAUAUGUUCAUAAAUGUUUUGUAUAAGCAUUCAUCUAUACCCUCAAUCUUUGUUCGGCACCACUUUACCUAGGAGUUUUACAGAUAUAUCGCAUUGUGCGAGUGUUUGUAUAAAUGAUCUUACAAUGAACGUCAUCACAUGGGUUCUAUGGACAAAGAAAAAUUAGUGAAGUGAAACUAAACUUCAUCAGAAUAAACAAUUCUUGUUUAAAAGGGAAGAAGUCACACAGUCAGUAUUCUCGCGGGUCGUAUUUACGUCGCGUCAGUCCUUGACCUUAAGGUUUGAUUUGCAAUAGUAGUUCAUAAUAAUUCAGCUAAGAUUUGAUAUCAAGUUGUCCAGGCGUCGAUAGUGCGCUUAUAAUCGGAAUUUGGACGAAUAUCAUACACAGUGGCGGAUCAUAAAACUGAUCCUAGUUAAAAGAAAAAGGAAAACUACUAAUGCAAGAUUCAACAUAAAAAAAAAUUCCAGUUUCUAUCUAAUUCCUUUCGUUCAGUCUUUAUGUUCUAAGUGAAUUCGGUGUUUGUGUGUAUCAAGUAUUCAAAUAAUUUGAGCAAUAUAAGUUAGUUAAAUAAAACCAAGUGACUUCCAAAUAAUAAGCAAUCAAACUAUUCUUCACCUCGUUCAGUGAUCAUGUGAUUACCAUCUCAAUGUCAUGCUGUUGGGAAUCCCGGACGAUACGAUAUUCUUGUUUCAAUAUGUCAUACAUUGAGUAAACUAUCACAAAGCAAAAGGUAUUCACCAAAGUUUCGAUCAGUCUUGAUACUACUGUAGUUAUGCUGAACGCUGGUAUUCUCAAUGCCGAAAGCAAUGCUGUGAUUCCUAAGAGUACCACGAAUGGUGUCAUCAUGGCGUGGUCUCUUGCUUUAAUUCCCUUACUGCAUUUCCAAGCUAUGUAAGUGAGUACUAUGCUGAAUAUUGUAAUGAAAAUCAUCUCCUCAAUCGGAAUUUCAAAAAACUUGUCACAAUGUUCAUGUGUUGUUGAUCUGGUCAGAUCGUCGCAAUUGUACAUAGACAACAGUAGAAUCGCGAAUAUGCCUGCGUAAAAUAUCACUAUGGAUGUUAUCAGAUACAACCAUGUGACCAUCAAGCUACCUGUCUUUAUUCCGAUGCAAAAACAGGAGUUCAACUGUAACGUCAUACUUCCUCGUCUGUUUGUCCGUUGUCUGAAUGAUCGAAAACGAUAGUUCGUUCGAAUUCAAAAGAAAAGAAAAGUCCUUUUAUCGUAACGGAGUGAUCAAGGGACUAUUCACUCAAUAUGAUCGACUGGUUGAGUCAUUUACUACAAACCAUUUCACCAGUCAUCCUGACAAAUUCUGGAUUAUAAUACAGUCGUGAAACCGUUGAGUUUACAUUAACAGAGGUGUCCUAUGAGACCUGGGGGUAUUCAGUCAUAGAAGAAUUUCUCAAAUAAAAAUAAGUGUAAAAAGAACUUUGUAAUAAUUCAACAAUAAGAAACAAAGUGUUUGAAAAAUUAAUAAAGUUUCUCAAUUAACAAUCCACAUUUUCACAUGGCGACUCAGUGACAGUUUCGAAAUUUUUUUAAGUCAUUAAAAUAAAAAUAACUUAGAAUAUUUCGUCGGAAAAUACAGUGAACAUUAUUGUGUAAACAUAACGCAACAAUUAUAAACUUUGUAUAAUGAACUUAAGAAAGGGCUCAGUAAUUCUCUUCAAAGAAUGAUGUCCAUAGCCUUCAGUGGCUUAUCAACUUCUAAAUGUGUCAUUCAUAUGGAUGAUUUAAUUGUGGCAGCACCAACUGAAAAUAUCAUGCUUAAAAAAAAACAAUCUUACUGGAGUAUUCCGAGUGUGUAGAAGAUUCAAUCUUAAACUCGUAAAUUUCACUCGUAUGGAGCAAGGAUAGGUAAAGUCACUUACCACUUGAAGGUUAGUGUGGAAUAUGAUAUCAGAGUUUACCAUCCAGUCACCUGCUUUCGCCAAUUCUUAAGAGAAAAAAGAAAAAGCUAAAUUUGGUGUCGUCAUCACAUACUACAAAUAUUGUUUCUGCUUCCAACAUAUAACAAUCAUCAGGGAUUUUCUUUUUCAAAUAUUAAACUACGUUUGUGACUGUAGGCCCUGGAGCUAAUACUGCAGUUAGGGCCAUCAAUCAGAAGUUCAUUCAGUGUCAUGGUCAAUACUGUAGCCCGUGGGUGCAUUGUGAAUAACCUCUUUGGAGGAUGUCGUAUCAAAGAAAUAAGUGCAGGAUCCGUCAAAACGUUAGGAUCCAUUUACGCUAAUCUUUCAGUGAAAGAGGUCGACGACUUAAAAUCUAAAAUACGGUUAAAAUAAAACGAAGUGAUUUUCUUUCUUCUUCCUUUAAAUCAUAACCGAUAUCGUGUCCUUCAAUUGAGUACAUUCGUGAACAUACGUCUCACCAACUUUUGGGUGUACGACAGUCAGCUCUCAUCAAUCUAAGAGUUGUCUCUCCGGAUCCGCGACUCUAAGACAACAAACAACACUCAUAAAAGAAAACUUAUCAUAAUUUCUCAAUAAAGAGAACUUACAAUAAUCUUGUGUAAAAUGAAAUUCGUCAAACAAAGCGUUUGAACCAAAGAAAUUCAAAACAACAACUCAUUUUGUCCCGCGUAAUGUUUUUGAACGAUCAAUUUUCGAACCAAAACAUUUAUGCUGGGACUAAUGUGAACUGUCAUUCGCAUCGAUUUUCUAUUAUCGAUCUCGUCGUAAAGAAAGUGGCGCGUGUGUAUCGCGUCCUCUCAUGCAUUAUUAUACCGAUCGUGAAAGUAUACAGAAGGACUGUCCGUGGUUCAAUUAUAUCUUUGUGCAUUCGUCAUUGUAGCGAAAAUAUAUCGCUGUCUAAAUACUUUGAAAGUGUACGUGAUCAAUCGAUCGAAAAAAUGACUUUAGCCAUUUUGAGGUUAAUGUUCGUGAUCCUCUAUAUUCAUACGGUGUGGGGUGCCCCAUGCGUCACAGUGAAGAGGACAGAGGUCGGCAGUCCGUUCGGGACAUUGGAAUAUGGACUCCUUGUUUACUGUGCUGGAAUCUCAACCGUGUUGCUGUUAGUUGGUCUUUGGUUUAGCGUGGCCUGGUGCGUUUACAGGCGACAUCGAAUGGUUCGUGCUUACCAGACGUUCAAUGCCAACACUCCGCCGCCACCUGAACUCGUUGAUUCAGCAUCGUCCGGACCCGCUGUUGGUGAUGUUUCAAGUUACCGAAGUUGCGUCUGUGAAGAAAUGGGUCGGUUCCCGAUACCUAUGGGUCCUAAUCCCGGGCCUAUUGACCUGAUGCCUCGUUCGUGCCCCACUAUGCCGGUUUAUCCGAUGCAGUAGCCAGACUGGACUAUUAUGUUACAAAUGGUUAAAUCGUCCGAAUUUACUGUAAAACCCUUCUUCAAUUGUUGUUUGGUGGGGGGGUGUCCAUACAACGCUCUCAUUAUUUGCCUAGAGUAAUUCUUAUGUAACAAAGCGCAGUUACUAUACAAUGUUGCAUGAAGUUCCAGUAAAUCGUCAUUCUCCGAUAGAUUGACGAAUCCUCCACCACAUUGUUUUUCAGUCGUCACCGGUAGUUGUGGUGGCCAAAACUCCUGGAAUGUAGCUUUCCGUUGGUCAUAAGUUUGGAAUUGUGGGUACAGUGGCCUGACUAAGGAUCUAUCAUCUGUGGCAUUCGAUGAGCUCGGAUAAAAUGCCAUUUCCAAUUCUGGAAGGGACGAAAUUCAUAUUUGAUUGUUGGUCAGUUUUCCUUCUUAGGAAGCCUAUGUAUAGGAAGAGUGGAGCAGAUACGAGUUUUUCUCUUUGUACACACGAGUGAGAUCUUGAACAUUGUGGACAUCGGUUUAUUCCGUCGCCAUACGGGCGUGGAGUGAACAUUUGUGACACUGAGUGUUGCACUGAUUUAGAAGUUUGCAUCCGUCCGUGAAUGGACAGUGCGGCGUUUACAAAAGUAUUGUUUGUAUUCUUGCAUUUAGUGCUUAGCAUACUACUUCUAACGGCGUUCGGUAUUUGGUUCCAUUUGACGGAACUCAAAUCACCUUCGAUCAAACUAUAAAAUGUGUGUAUUAUUGUUUGAUCGUUUGUCAACAGUCGGUAUAAUUCACAUCCGAAACAUUCGCAUGGAAAUCCAAAUUGUGACGAUUUGGAAUUCAAGUCUAUAGCGAAAUGUUCGAAUAUUGACAAAAAUACCGCUUUAAUGUAUAUGUUAGUUUUCAACCUUAAAUCAUAACGCAUUCUCUCUCUAUGGUCACGGAGGGAUAUCUUUAUUACCCCAUCCUCAUACUCAAUUCUUAAUCGGUUCUUGCUCAGAAAAUCAGUACCGAGAAUGGCAUCUUGUGUCAGAUGCAAAUGUUCGUCGCGCGUGACAUGGAAUUGGUGAGGGAUGUCCAUAUCAUCUAACGUUAUUACUGCCUCCACUGUUCCUAAUGUAACAGCAUUAGGGGCAGUAAUUCCAAUUAACGUGGUAGAAUUCGUGUCAUUUACCUGUAUUUGGUCUGGAAGAUGUUUAUACUUCAAAAUUGAUAACUCCGAACCUGUGUCGAUCAAGAAUUUAAGUUUAUUUUUAUUAUUACCGAUUGUGCACCAUAACUCAACUUGCCUAUAUGCUAGGCUUUGUUCGUCCGUAGAGAUCAGGGUCUUUAUAUCAAAUUCUCCUUGCCGUGGAGCCUGAUUUGUGUCUGACCUCUCGGGCUCGUAUUCGGUGGCCUGGUUCUUUCUAAAAAAGCAACCUGGCGCGAAUCCGUGGAGCUGUCUUUACCAUUUCUCACGUUCUCGUUUUCCUUAUUAGGAAUUCGAGCGAAACACCUCUCGACAGUGUGACCGUUCCGGUGACACCUCGUACAAAACGCGUUAGACUUAUCAAAGUCAUUCGGGGAACUUCUCGGGAAAUUGUUCGGAAAGUUCCGAUUGUUCACGUUGCUCUGGAAACGAUGACCGUUACCAGAAUUAGACGAAUUUGGGUUAUUCCAAAAACUUCUCCGUUGAAAACUCGGAUUAAAAUUAUUCCUAGUGUAGUUCCCAUACCCGUUCCACUGUUUCGGGUUCCUAGGGGACCUUUCAACGUUGGGUUUAUCUGAUUCGUUUUGGCCGGUGAUCUUAUUUACCUUCACGAAUGGCUCUUCCUCAACCGCUUUCUUCACGAGCUCAUCUAAGGUCUUCGCCUCAAAGUUCACUAUCCGAUACUUCAACGGGGGUUUCAGACCUUCCCUAAAGGUCCUUAUCGCGACUUUUUCAUGUUCUAACUUAAAAGAAUCUGUUACCUCCGGUGCAUUGUAUUGCGAACUCAUAAUGUCGCUGAGCUCUUUCAAUUUUUCUCUGAUAAGGUCUGCGAAUUCCCGUACCGAUUUAUCUGAACCCUGGGUCAGAUUUAUCAGUUCGUUCUGCAGAGCUGAUGCUGACUUUGUCAGUCGUAUUCCUUCUAACAAAUCUUUUUUGAAAUCAGUCCAACAGGUAUACUGUUUGCUUUCAAAUAUCAAAAAUGCUUUUCCUCCCAAUUUAAAUAUUAGGUGUGACAGGAAGGAUCUCUUUCCAUCGGCGUUAAGAGCGUCAUGGAAGGUAUCACACCUCUUCACAAACACCGGGAGUGAUUUAAUGUCACUCUUAAAUUCCGGUAUCAUGCGGUUGAAAUCCGCUGUAGAGAACACCAUUCCCAGAGGCGCAUUGGCGUCACCAUUACCAUCAUUCCCCGGGUUAACCAUCGUUACGAUGUCUGUAAAGCUCAAAGAUUUCCUUGACAACCCCGGGGGUCUACUUAUGAAGGUUUUCGGAAGUUUUAUUCCUAAGGGUUCUAAUGGUCUAUUAACAGGCGUUACCACCGUUUCUAAAUUACGACCUGAACGCAAAUUCCUUUGGUUGAUCUUCCCGUAAUCGAUCAAAUGGCCAAGCUUUCUAGCUUCACGUGGGUCAACUUGUUCUUUCUUGAUUCUAUUGUGAAGGAAGUCUUUAAAUGUUGUCAUCAAUUUCCUUUUUUUUUAUGUUUUGUGAAAUCGCUGGGAGACGUAGAAGAAAAGACCGAUAGGAAGAGAGAGAGAGUAAAAGAGAAGUCCCUCCUACUUACGUAUCGGCAAACAAUUCUUACGAAAUCUGUACGUUACAAGGUCAAAAAAAAA